rnacentral:rRNA from 1 species
AUUGAACGCUGGCGGCAGGCUUAACACAUGCAAGUCGAGCGGGGUGAUGGUGCUUGCACUAUCACUUAGCGGCGGACGGGUGAGUAAUGCUUAGGAAUCUGCCUAUUAGUGGGGGACAACAUCUCGAAAGGGAUGCUAAUACCGCAUACGUCCUACGGGAGAAAGCAGGGGAUCACUUGUGACCUUGCGCUAAUAGAUGAGCCUAAGUCGGAUUAGCUAGUUGGUGGGGUAAAGGCCUACCAAGGCGACGAGCUGUAGCGGGUCUGAGAGGAUGAUCCGCCACACUGGGACUGAGACACGGCCCAGACUCCUACGGGAGGCAGCAGUGGGGAAUAUUGGACAAUGGGGGGAACCCUGAUCCAGCCAUGCCGCGUGUGUGAGGAAGGCCUUAUGGUUGUAAAGCACUUUAAGCGAGGAGGAGGCUCUUUUGGUUAAUACCCAAGAUGAGUGGACGUUACUCGCAGAAUAAGCACCGGCUAACUCUGUGCCAGCAGCCGCGGUAA